UACGGGGGGGGCAAGCGUUGUUCGGAAUUACUGGGCGUAAAGGGCGCGUAGGCGGCCCGUUAAGUCGAACGUGAAAUCCCCGGGCUCAACCCGGGAACUGCGUCCGAUACUGGCAGGCUUGAAUCCGGGAGAGGGAUGCGGAAUUCCAGGUGUAGCGGUGAAAUGCGUAGAUAUCUGGAGGAACACCGGUGGCGAAGGCGGCAUCCUGGACCGGCAUUGACGCUGAGGCGCGAAAGCCAGGGGAGCAAACGGG
rnacentral:rRNA from 1 species